UACGUAGGGUGCGAGCGUUAAUCGGAAUUACUGGGCGUAAAGCGUGCGCAGGCGGUUAUUUAAGUCAGGUGUGAAAGCCCUGGGCUUAACCUAGGAAUUGCGCUUGAGACUGGAUAGCUUGGAGUGCGGCAGAGGGAGGUGGAAUUCCACGUGUAGCAGUGAAAUGCGUAGAGAUGUGGAGGAACACCGAUGGCGAAGGCAGCCUCCUGGGCCAGCACUGACACUCAUGCACGAAAGCGUGGGGAGCAAACAGG
rnacentral:rRNA from 1 species